UUCCGGUUGAUCUUGCCGGACCUGACUGCUAUUGGAGUAGGACUAAGUCACGCUAGUCAAAGGUGCAGAAUGGAGCACCUGGCGUACGGCUCAGUAACACGUAGUCAACCCACCCUAAGGACGAUGACAACCACGGGAAACUGUGGAUAAUCUUCGAUAGGAAAUUUGGCCUGGAACGGUAUCUUUCCUAAAACCGGCUCGCCGUGAGACACGGGCCUUAGGAUGGGGCUGCGGCCGAUUAUGCUUGAUGGCGGUGUAAAGGACCACCAUGGCGACGAUCGGUAUGGGCAAUGGAAGUUGGAGCCCAGAGUCGCUAACUGAGACAAGGUAGCGAGCCUUACGAGGCUUAGCGGUCGCGAAAACUCGCCAAUGCACGAAAGUGUGAGUGGGCUACUCCAAGUGUCAUUCUUACGGAUGACUGUCGCUCAGUAUUACAAGCUGAGAAAGGAAGGAGAGGGCAAGGCUGGUGCCAGCCGCCGCGGUAAAACCAGCUCUUCGAGUGGUCAGGACGAAUAUUGGGUCUAAAGCGCUCGUAGCCGGACAUGUAGGUUCCUGGUUAAAUCCGACAGCAUAACUGUCGACCUGCUGGGAAUACCGCAAGUCUUGGGAGCGGGAGAGGAUAGAGGUAGUCAUAGGGCAGGGGUGAAAUCCAGUGAUCCUAUGGCGACCACCGAUGGCGAAGGCAUCUAUCUGGAACGUCUCCGACGGUGUGGGGCGAAAGCUAGGGGAGCGACCCGGAUUAGAUACCCGGUUAGUCCUAGCCGUAAACGAUGCCGACUAGGUGUUGCGACGGCCAAGAGCCGUUGCGGUGCCACAGCGAAGGCGUUAAGUCGGCCACCUGGGGGAGUACGGUCGCAAGACUGAAACUUAAAGGAAUUUGACGGGGGCGCACCACCAGGAGUGAAGCCUGCGGUUUAAUUGGAUUCAACGCCGGGAAUCACUAGUGCGGC
rnacentral:rRNA from 1 species